rnacentral:rRNA from 1 species
CGCUAUUAGAUGAGCCUAUGUCGGAUUAGCUAGUUGGUGGGGUAAUGGCCUACCAAGGCAAUGAUCUGUAGCUGGUCUGAGAGGAUGAUCAGCCACACUGGAACUGAGACACGGUCCAGACUCCUACGGGAGGCAGCAGUGGGGAAUAUUGGACAAUGGGCGCAAGCCUGAUCCAGCUAUGCCGCGUGAGUGAGGAAGGCCUUAGGGUUGUAAAACUCUUUCAGUAGGGAAGAUAAUGACGGUAC